rnacentral:rRNA from 1 species
UACGGAGGGUGCGAGCGUUGUCCGGAAUCACUGGGCGUAAAGGGCGCGUAGGUGGCCUGUGGAAGUCUGCGGUGAAAGCCCGGCGCUCAACGCCGGGUCGGCCGUGGAUACUCGUCGGGCUCGAGCUACUAGAGGCAGAUGGAAUUCCGGGUGUAGCGGUGGAAUGCGUAGAGAUCCGGAGGAAGACCGGUGGCGAAGGCGGU